rnacentral:rRNA from 1 species
UACGAAGGGGGCGAGCGUUGUUCGGAAUUACUGGGCGUAAAGGGCGCGUAGGCGGCCCCUUUUGUCGCGUGUGAAAGCCCCGGGCUCAACCUGGGAGGUGCGCGCGAAACGGGGGGGCUUGAGUUCGGGAGAGGAGAGUGGAAUUCCCAGUGUAGAGGUGAAAUUCGCAGAUAUCAGGAGGAACACCGGUGGCGAAGGCGGGUCUCUGGGCCGAUACUGACGCUGAGGAGCGAAAGCGUGGGGAGCGAACAGG